GACGAACGCUGGCGGCGUGCUUAACACAUGCCAGUCGAACGGAAAGGCCCUGCUUUUGUGGGGUGCUCGAGUGGCGAACGGGUGAGUAACACGUGAGUAACCUGCCCUUGACUUUGGGAUAACUUCAGGAAACUGGGGCUAAUACCGGAUAGGAGCUCCUGCUGCAUGGUGGGGGUUGGAAAGUUUCGGCGGUUGGGGAUGGACUCGCGGCUUAUCAGCUUGUUGGUGGGGUAGUGGCUUACCAAGGCUUUGACGGGUAGCCGGCCUGAGAGGGUGACCGGCCACAUUGGGACUGAGGUACGGCCCAGACUGCUACGGGAGGCAGCAGUGGGAAAUAUUGCACAAUGGGCGGAAGCCUGAUGCAGCAACGCCGCGUGCGGGAUGACGGCCUUCGGGUUGUAAACCGCUUUCGCCUGUGACGAAGCGUGAGUGACGGUAAUGGGUAAAGAAGCACCGGCUAACUACGUG
rnacentral:rRNA from 1 species